rnacentral:rRNA from 1 species
AUUGAACGCUGGCGCCAGGCCUAACACAUGCAAGUCGAACGAGUGGCGGACGGGUGAGUAAUGUCUGGGAAACUGCCUGAGGGAGGGGGAUAACUACUGGAAACGGUAGCUAAUACCGCAUACCCUCGGAUGUGCCCAGAUGGGAUGAGCUAGUAGGUGGGUGAAAGGCUCACCUAGGCGACGACCCCUAGCUGGUCUGAGAGGAUGACCAGCCACACUGUAACUGAGACAGGGUCCAGACUCCUACGGGAGGCAGCAGUGGGGAAUAUUGCACAAUGGGCGAAAGCCUGAUGCAGCCAUGCCGAGUGUAUGAAGAAGGCCUUCGGGUUGUAAAGUACUUUCAGCGGGGAGGCGUUACCCGAAGAAGAAGCACCGGCUAACUACGUGCCAGCAGCCGCGGUAAUAC